rnacentral:rRNA from 1 species
GAUGAACGCUCGCGGCAGGCCUAACACAUGCAAGUCGAGGGAGGAGCUUUCGGGCUUCGACCGGCGUACGGGUGCGUAACGCGUAUACAAUCUGCCUUUCACAUAGGGAUAGCCCGAAGAAAUUUGGAUUAAUACCUAAUGGUAUAUAGGAGCGGCAUCACAUUUAUAUUAAAGCUGAGGCGGUGAAAGAUGAGUAUGCGUUCUAUUAGCUAGUUGGAGAGGUAACGGCUCCCCAAGGCGACGAUAGAUAGGGGUUCUGAGAGGGAUAUCCCCCACACUGGUACUGAGAUACGGACCAGACUCCUACGGGAGGCAGCAGUGAGGAAUAUUGGACAAUGGUCGGAAGACUGAUCCAGCCAUGCCGCGUGCAGGAAGACGGCCUUAUGGGUUGUAAACUGCUUUUGCAGGGGAAGAAUAAGGACUACGAGUAGUUUGAUGACGGCACUCUGCGAAUAAGCAUCGGCUAACUCCGUG